AGUGAACGCUGGCGGUAGGCCUAACACAUGCAAGUCGAACGGCAGCACAGUAAGAGCUUGCUCUUACGGGUGGCGAGUGGCGGACGGGUGAGGAAUACAUCGGAAUCUACUUUUUCGUGGGGGAUGACGUAGGGAAACUUACGCUAAUACCGCAUACGACCUACGGGUGAAAGCAGGGGAUCUUCGGACCUUGCGCGAUUGAAUGAGCCGAUGUCGGAUUAGCUAGUUGGCGGGGUAAAGGCCCACCAAGGCGACGAUCCGUAGCUGGUCUGAGAGGAUGAUCAGCCACACUGGAACUGAGACACGGUCCAGACUCCUACGGGAGGCAGCAGUGGGGAAUAUUGGACAAUGGGCGCAAGCCUGAUCCAGCCAUACCGCGUGGGUGAAGAAGGCCUUCGGGUUGUAAAGCCCUUUUGUUGGGAAAGAAAAGCAGCAGGUUAAUACCCCGCUGUUCUGUCGGUACCCAAAGAAUAAGCACCGGCUAACUUCGUG
rnacentral:rRNA from 1 species